rnacentral:rRNA from 1 species
GAGUUUGAUCCUGGCUCAGAAUGAACGCUGGCGGCGUGCUUUACACAUGCAAGUCGAGCGAGAAAGUUCCCUUCGGGGGACGAGUAAAGCGGCGAACGGGUGAGUAACACGUGGACAACCUACCUCGGAGCGGGGGAUAACUUGGGGAGAGGGGAGCUAAUACCGCGUACGUCUCGAGGGCUUCGGCCCGAGAGGGAAAGCUGGCCUCUACAUGUAAGCUGGUGCUCCGAGAGGGGUCCGCGCCCGAUUAGCUAGAUGGUGGGGUAAUGGCCUACCAUGGCGACGAUCGGUAGCCGGCCUGAGAGGGCGAUCGGCCACACUGGGACUGAGACACGGCCCAGACUCCUACGGGAGGCAGCAGUGGGGAAUAUUGGACAAUGGGGGAAACCCUGAUCCAGCAACGCCGCGUGGAGGAAGAAGGCCUUCGGGUCGUAAACUCCUGUCAGGUGGGGACGAAACAGCCAAGGUCAAUAGCCUUGGUUUCUGACGGUACCACCAGAGGAAGCCCCGGCUAACUC